AAGGAGGCCGGCGAGCUGCGUGGGUUUGUGCAUGGGCGCUUGUGGUUCGGGGCCCUGUGCUGGCACCGGGGGCGCCGGGUUGGCGACUUUUGCACUCUUGGCAUUGGGUGGGCGGCAUCUUGGGGGUCGCAUGAGCCAGUGGCAUCAUGCCCGUGGGCGCUGGGGUCAGCGUCGCGGCUUUUCCGGACGGACGUUCGUCGGCCAGGAGGAAGGGCGGAAAGCACAUCUCGGAAAGGUGGAAAGACUAUCUCCCAGUUGAACAGCGGAUGCCUGGGACUCGUUUCAUUGCUUUCAAAGUUCCUUAAAAAAAGAGUUUUGAAAAGAAUCUUGCUCCAGAAGAACGUUUCUCCCCCUUGGAUUUCUUAACAAAAUCCAAGGACAGAAUGAAGAACUUGGGCUGAUUAUUGACUUAACAUAUAUUCGCCGCUGUUAUAAGCCAGAGGACUUACCAGAAACUAUUCCUUAUUUAAAAAUUUGUACAAUUGGGCAUCAGGUGUCAGAUGACGACGCUAGUUUUAAAUUCCAGUGUGCUGUUAAUGGGUUUCUGAAAGAACAUAAAAAUAACGACAGACUUAUUGGUGUCCACUGUACCCAUGGUUUAAACAGGACUGGCUACCACAUCUGCAGGAAGCAGAUGGCAGGCAGAUAAGGCAGAGGCAAAUGAACCCAAUUACCGGUCCGCGGGACCCAGUUACCGGACUGCCUGACGCCAGCGAUGCCGGUUUUGAAAUAAUGCAAGAAGAAGAAUGCAAGACCUUUACCACUUUGAUCCUUAUUACCACUCCCUGGACUGAGAUGGCCGCAUGAGGGGCCAGGAGGCUAGCCGGGUCUUCCAGGCGUGUGUGGGCAUCCUGUGUGCAGCCAGCGUCCCCGAGGCCACGCUCGGCCCAUCAUCACUGAGUGAAGCUGUGCCGCGACAGCACAGCCGACAUUUUUCUGGCGCUGUGAGGACCUGUGUGCAUUGCAGGAUUCGGUGCCUCUGCCCGCCGUGGGCGCCUCCCUGUGGGAGGGCCUGCCGGACUUCAACACCCACCACCUGCGCAGGGUGGACUGGGCGCCGCCCCUGAGCACCCUCUGCCCCCGAUCUGUAUCCAGAGCUUCUUCCAGCCAUGGCUUGGCGAGACGGGUUCUGACAGAAAUAAAGUUUCCAGAAGUUGUGUUCCUGCAAUGAGAAAUAAAGAUGUGACCUUCCAGUUGUGUAAAGCUCUUAGACGCUGUGUAAGUGCGUCAGGUGCGCUAAGGAACCUGGAACUAAGUGGGCUAGUUGUGAGAGAAAGAGACGUAACUAUGUUAACAAAGGUCCAUGAGAAUUUCCUGUGACUGUGACAGUAGAGAGUCCUUCCUCCUCAGAAAUUGAAGAGGUCGAUGAUUCCUCAGAAAGUGUUCAGGAAGAGCCAGAGAAAAUCCAUUUGAAACAAGAAGCAUUGCCGGUACAAAGGAAAACCUGGAGGAGUGACUAAAGCAGUUAAAGGAGGAAAGAGUAAUAAGACUGAAGGCUGAUAAACGAGUCAGUGAGGCUUGGGCAGCUGGCCACAAUGGCUGGUACAGAUCAGUCAGAUUUUCAUUUACUAGGUCGUCCCUAGAUGAAUUCUACUGUUAGUAGUCCAUGUAAAGAAGAAAAGGGACUUGAAGAAGAAAAAUCAGAAUCAAAACAGGGUGCCCCAGGACAAAUGAAAAAU